rnacentral:rRNA from 1 species
UACGGGGGGAGCAAGCGUUGUUCGGAUUUACUGGGCGUAAAGGGCGCGUAGGCGGCCACCGCAAGUCGACUGUGAAAUCUCCGGGCUUAACCCGGAAAGGUCAGCCGAUACUGCGGGGCUAGAGUGCAGAAGGGGCAACUGGAAUUCUCGGUGUAGCGGUGAAAUGCGUAGAUAUCAAGUGGAACACCAGUGGCGAAGGCGAGUCCCUGGACAAGACCUGACACUGAGGCACGAAAGCCAGGGGAGCAAACAGG